AGUGAACGCUGGCGGCAGGCCUAACACAUGCAAGUCGAGCGGAUGAAGGGAGCUUGCUCCUGGAUUCAGCGGCGGACGGGUGAGUAAUGCCUAGGAAUCUGCCUGGUAGUGGGGGAUAACGUCCGGAAACGGGCGCUAAUACCGCAUACGUCCUGAGGGAGAAAGGGGGGGAUCUUCGGACCUCACGCUAUCAGAUGAGCCUAGGUCGGAUUAGCUAGUUGGUGGGGUAAAGGCCUACCAAGGCGACGAUCCGUAACUGGUCUGAGAGGAUGAUCAGUCACACUGGAACUGAGACACGGUCCAGACUCCUACGGGAGGCAGCAGUGGGGAAUAUUGGACAAUGGGCGCAAGCCUGAUCCAGCCAUACCGCGUGUGUGAAGAAGGUCUUCGGAUUGUAAAGCCCUUUAAGUUGGGAGGAAGGGCAGUAAGUUAAUACCUUGCUGUUUUGACGGUACCCAAAGAAUAAGCACCGGCUAACUUCGUG
rnacentral:rRNA from 1 species